rnacentral:lncRNA from 1 species
CUCUGUACUAUCCCUGGCAACUGGGACUAGGAUGGUCCUAUAUGGUGGCAUCAUAACCACCACUUUGAAUGAUCUCUACCAAUGUCUCUUUCCAUCCACUGGAAAGUCAAGUGUUCUCUCUAGGCAGCUUUCUACAGCAAAGCCUAUGUGGGCAGACAAUGUAAUUACCUUGAGCCUGGAGGCCAACUGGAAGGAUUUUUUACUUGAUAUGUCACUUGGACAUCUGUAAUAGGGGAGAAAAAAAAUGUCAGAGGGAUAUUUCAGAAAAGGAAUUGAAUUGCUGUAACACUUCUUAAAGAGAAAACUAUGGAUAUAUUUUCCUGAAUGCAAAGGUGCGACUUUUUCGUAUUAGAAUUCCUGUGCUGCCUUCCAUCCCUAACACUCAAUGACAUAGAGAAAAUAAUGAAAGGAAGGCAGGUACCAUUUGCCAAAGAUGCGGCCAAGAUAACGCUGCUGUCACCAUGAAAGCUUUGUGUUAUCUACACAACGUAAAGUUAUUUGCGAUUACCAUAGAAUGGAAGGGAAUGAAAAUAACGGCCAGCCUUCUCAUAAGUGCUUGUCCGUCAUUUCCAUGCUGCAGCAGGAUGAAUAUGGGGCCUGGCAGGCCUUAGCUUUCUUUGGAGAAUAUUAACUGUAGGCACCAAUGGAGCACAUUGAGAAGCAAUUUCUCUCCCAGAAGCACCAAAGCCUUUUAAGUAGUUCAGGCUUCACUGUUCAUGUCCAGUUGCCAAAAAGCAAAUGAAUUGUCUGAUUUUAAAGACGCUUGUUUCCUUAUUUUUUUUGGCAGUCAGGAUGAUCCUCUUGUUUUCCCCAUAAUCAGGCCCCACAGAACUACAUGCCUAUGCACUAACAAUUUAAAAUAAACAAAGCGUGGUUUUCAGGUGACCGCUUUGCCUCAAUUUGCUUGCACACUGUCCCAAGGGUGCCUACGGAUCUGGCUGCACUUCAGAAUGUCAGUAUGUGGAGAAGAAUACCCUGGAAUGCAGUGCCAAAAAUGGUAGUUGCACCUGCAAAUCUGGUUACCAAGGCAACAGAUGCCAGAAAGUCCGCCCAGAUGGCCUCUGGGGAUCAGAGUGCUGGUUCUCCUCUGCACCCUGUGAAAAUGGAGGUCAGUGCAACAACAACAACAACAAAAAAAACUGGAAAUUGUGACUGCACUCCUGGUUACACAGGAAAAUCCUGUACCAUAUGUAAGUCAUAAACCUAGACGAAACAACCAACAAAGUUAAUAAAACUGUUAGCUUUAAAAAUGCUUUUGUUUUC